rnacentral:rRNA from 1 species
AGUGAACGCUGGCGGUAGGCCUAACACAUGCAAGUCGAACGGCAGCACAGUAAGCGCUUGCUCUUACGGGUGGCGAGUGGCGGACGGGUGAGGAAUACAUCGGAAUCUACUUUUUCGUGGGGGAUAACGUAGGGAAACUGACGCUAAUACCUCAUACGACCUACGGGUGAAAGCAGGGGAUCUUCGUACCUUGCGCGAUCGAAUGAGCCGAUGUCGGAUUAGCUAGUUGGCGGGGUAAAGGCCCACCAAGGCGACGAUCCGUAGCUGGUCUGAGAGGAUGACCAGCCACACUGGAACUGAAACACGGCCCAGACUCCUACGGGAGGCAGAAGUGGGGAAUAUUGGACAAUGGGCGCAAGCCUAAUCCAGCCAUACCGCGGGGGUGAGGAAGGCCUUCGGGUUGUAAAGCCCUUUUGUUGGGAAAGAAAAGCAGCAGGUUAAUACCCCGCUGUUCUGACGGUACCCAAAGAAUAAGCACCGGCUAACUUCGUG